rnacentral:rRNA from 1 species
CCUACGGGGGGCAGCAGUCGAGAAUCAUUCACAAUGGGGGAAACCCUGAUGGUGCGACGCCGCGUGGGGGAAUGAAGGUCUUCGGAUUGUAAACCCCUGUCAUGUGGGAGCAAAUUAAAAAGAUAGUACCACAAGAGGAAGAGACGACUAACUCUGUGCCAGCAGCCGCGGUAAUACAGAGGGCGCAAGCGUUGUUCGGAAUCACUGGGCGUAAAGCGUGCGUAGGCGGUUUCGUAAGUCGUGUGUGAAAGGCGCGGGCUCAACCCGCGGACGGCACAUGAUACUGCGAGACUAGAGUGAGGGAGGGGGAAGUGGAAUUCUCGGUGUAGCAGUGAAAUGCGUAGAUAUCGAGAGGAACACUCGUGGCGAAGGCGAGUACCUGGACAUUAACUGACGCUGAGGAACGAAGGCCAGGGGAGCGAAAGGGAUUAGAUACCCGUGUAGUC